rnacentral:rRNA from 1 species
AGAAAAGCAGGGGAUCGUAAGACCUUGCGUUAAUGGAGCGGCCGAUAUCUGAUUAGCUAGUUGGUGGGGUAAAGGCCCACCAAGGCUUUGAUCAGUAGCUGGUCUGAGAGGACGACCAGCCACACUGGAACUGAGACACGGUCCAGACUCCUACGGGAGGCAGCAGUGGGGAAUUUUGGACAAUGGGCGCAAGCCUGAUCCAGCCAUUCCGCGUGAGUGAAGAAGGCCUUCGGGUUGUAAAGCUCUUUCGCAAGGGAAGAAAACUUAUCUAAUAACACUAGGUGAGGCUGACGGUACCUUGAUAAGAAGCACCGGCUAACUACGUGCCAGCAGCCGUGGUAAUACGUAGGGUGCGAGCGUUAAUCGGAAUUACUGGGCGUAAAGCGUGCGCAGGCGGUUCUGUAAGUCAGAUGUGAAAUCCCCGGGCUCAACCUGGGAACUGCGUUUGAAACUACAAGGCU